CAGUCGCCGCGGGAAUACGUAGGGUGCGAGCGUUAAUCGGAAUUACUGGGCGUAAAGCGUGCGCAGGCGGUUCGUUAAGACAGAUGUGAAAUCCCCGGGCUUAGCCUGGGAACUGCAUUUGUGACUGGCGAGCCAGAGUAUGGCAGAGGGGGGUAGAAUUCCACGUGUAGCAGUGAAAUGCGUAGAGAUGUGGAGGAAUACCGAUGGCGAAGGCAGCCCCCUGGGCCAAUACUGACGCUCAUGCACGAAAGCGUGGGGAGCAAACAGGAUUAGAUACCCCCGUAGUCCCUGUCUCUUAUAC
rnacentral:rRNA from 1 species